rnacentral:rRNA from 1 species
CACGUAGGGGGCAAGCGUUGUCCGGAUUUAUUGGGCGUAAAGAGCUCGUAGGCGGCUCAGUAAGUCAGGUGUGAAACCUCCAGGCUCAACCUGGAGACGCCACCUGAUACUGCUGUGGCUAGAGUCCGGUAGGGGAGCGUGGAAUUCCUGGUGUAGCGGUGAAAUGCGCAGAUAUCGUAAGGAAGACCAGUGGCGAAGGCGGGUCUCUGGACAGUUCCUGACGCUGAGGCACGAAGGUCAGGGGAGCAAACGGG